CCAUAGCUAAUCGGACGCAGUUCGCCUCUCCGCCUGCGUUCAGUGCGUACAUCCUUUCCCGAUACAUUCGUUUCCUUCUCGCACUGACGACGUCGGCCGUUUUACCGGCACUGACUUCAGGCGCCUCUGCGACGCCAUCGCAUUUCGUUGCCGCACUUUCCUGAGUCUUCUGGUUUCGCAGAUGAAAUCCACUAGAGUAGCUGCUGCGUUGCUGCGUGACGGCGGCGUGUCUCGACUGCUCGUCGCCCUAGUCCUUUCCGCUUGCUUUUCAGCGGCGCUGUCGGUGGCCCUGAUCACGGAAAUUAACGCUGGCGAGAUUUUUGUCAUUACCGAAAGCCUCGGCGCUGGGCGAGAGCUCCACUUUCAGUUUGCCCUGCACCCCGAAUACCUCUUGCCCGUCUCGAUCAAGGAUCGCGGCACGAAUGAGGAACUGAUGCACUGGAAGGACCUCGCCUUCGGCGCCUUCUCCGUCCCGGCAUCCGACAAGCCCCGCAACAUCAUCAUCAGUUUUGAUAACUCGAACACGCUGUUUACGUCCAAGAAUGUGAAUUUCGACCUGCGCACCUCCGUAAACGUCAACUAUGCGGUGGAUGCAUCGAAGCUGGAUCCGAUUGAGCAGAAAAUACGGGCGCUGUCGGGGUCGAUGCAGCAGCUGAAGACGUUGCAGGUGUCGAUUCGAAACCAACAGAAGGACCACCGCGACACCGUAGAGAGUGCGAAUGAACGCGUGCUGUGGUGGUCUAUCUUCCAGGUGCUGGCGUUCUUGAUCAUGCUCAGCUUCCAGCUGUUUAUGCUGCGGCGCCUCCUCGAAAAGAAGACGUACGUUUGAGAAGGAAGCAGGCGUGAGUGUCCGGCGGCCGCGAGGGCGCGUGAGCAUCAGCACGCGCGUCUGCGCAACCUUGCGUCAGCAUCCUGACCGAAUCGGGCGGGUGAGCGUAGUGUUCAUCCUGUGUGGUACACUCGCUUCUCCAGGACGGCCGCCCGUAUGCGAAAGGGGUGGGGCCCUUUAAUGCACAGCAUCACAAGUGUGCGCACGGCCGUCAAAGCCAACAGAUUGUGCUGUUCUAGGUGUCGUGGACCCCCUCCCACUCAUAUCUUCUGAAACACUGUUGGCGAAGUGCUUCCGUGAGCUUGUUGAUCUCUGCCAUUUCGCCUCGAGUUGCGCUGUCAG
rnacentral:misc_RNA from 1 species